CGUAUUAAUAUCAAUAUCUUAAGUGUAUUCCUUUUCCAUCAUCAUCUCAAUUCAUAGGUAAACAAAGGCAUGUAAAUUACUAUAAACAUAAUGUAGGAAGGGGUAUAGAAAUAGUAUUUCACCUUACUACACUCAUUCCCCUGAUUACAUAUUAUCUCUUCGGCCUGUCAAGGGAAUGCCCCUCAUAGUUCAACCUUUGAAUUAGGUUGCCAGAUUAAGAUUGAUUUCCGACCGUGUGUUCUUUCAAAUAAGGUGCACAACUUGCUCCAGACAUAUCCUAGACAUUUGACGGUUUUGUUGUUUAAUGGCUUGAGUCAUCCUUUUGGUUUGAGAAUAAUAUCAGUAAAUUUAUGUUUACUCUUAGUUACUCAUGAAAAUAGUAUGAUAGGAUAUGUCUGGGGUAAAUAGAUAAGCUGCUCCUGAUGUUGAUUUUAGCUACUGAUCUGAGCUAGCUGCAACAUCAGGAGCAGCCAGGAUAUGUUGCUGCUAGCUCAGAUCACAAGAGUCUGUUGCAGCACAGCCUAUCUCAUUGCAGCAUAAUGUUGUGUUGGUGAUAAACUUUUUUGGCCAUACCACAAGGUAGUUUCGCAACUAUUCUUUUUCUACUGUAAUGCACGUGCAGAUCUAUGAAAAGCUCCAAUGAUUGAGGGAUAUCACGUUUAAAGUAGCAUAAGUAGAGUGAGAAACUGGAUGGCCUAAGAGAUAGACUUACAUAGUUAUGUCAAUGCUAGCUGGUGAUUCACAUUACUUGGAUAUUGGACAAUAUCAGCUACAAAAAGAGCAGCAUAAUUAUCAUAUCAUGUGAAGAAGUUUUUUAGUUGAUAUUCUGUCAUUUACUAUCCAGGACGAACUCCUCACACUGUCAUAGAUCAGAAUCUCAUGGAUCAGACUAUGUCAUCGCUAGACAAAGGAACACGUGGUAAUUUAUCACUUUUUGUCGUGACAUCUUGAUAUAUUCUAAAAAAGUUUGCUAAUGUUAGGUGCAGAUCUAUGAAUUUUUGUGACGUCUUGGAUGCUUUACACAAGGUUCAUAAAUAGGCAUUGUCAGCUGAUACGGCUUCUAACCCAUUGCCUCCAUUACUGACAAAUAUAGUUUUCUGUAAAACCAUGACAUUGCUUAAUGUCCCCAAGGUAAGCAGGAUCAUGAUCAUCAUCUUUGAUUUUAUUAUAGUAGUAGGUAGAAUAGCCGUUAAACAAGUGUCAAAAUCUCAGAACAAGAUGAAUAUAUUUGAUUAUCUAUUUGACUCCCACAGGCAGACUUCCUAAAGAAAAAGUUCGCGUUCCAGAACUAUUUUGUCACAAGGAUAUUAAACUGGCGUAUUAAUAUCAAUAUUUUAAGUGUAUUCCUUUUCCAUCAUCAUCUCAAUUCAUAGGUAAACAAAGGCAUGUAAAUUACUAUAAACAUAAUGUAGGAAGGGGUAUAGAAAUAGUAUUUCACCUUACUACACUCAUUCCCCUGAUUACAUAUUAUCUCUUCGGCCUGUCAAGGGAAUGCCCCUCAUAGUUCAACCUUUGAAUUAGGUUGCCAGAUUAAGAUUGAUUUCCGACCGUGUGUUCUUUCAAAUAAGGUGCACAACUUGCUCCAGACAUAUCCUAGACAUUUGACGGUUUUGUUG
rnacentral:lncRNA from 1 species